rnacentral:rRNA from 1 species
CCUACGGGUGGCAGCAGUGAGGAAUAUUGGUCAAUGGCCGGAAGGCUGAACCAGCCAAGUCGCGUGAGGGAAUAAGGCCCUAUGGGUCGUAAACCUCUUUUGUCAGGGAGCAAAGGCGUCCACGAGUGGACGAAAGGAGAGUACCUGAAGAAAAAGCAUCGGCUAACUCCGUGCCAGCAGCCGCGGUAAUACGGAGGAUGCGAGCGUUAUCCGGAUUUAUUGGGUUUAAAGGGUGCGUAGGUGGUUAAUUAAGUCAGCGGUGAAAGUUUGUGGCUCAACCAUAAAAUUGCCGUUGAAACUGGUUGACUUGAGUAUAUUUGAGGUAGGCGGAAUGCGUGGUGUAGCGGUGAAAUGCAUAGAUAUCACGCAGAACUCCGAUUGCGAAGGCAGCUUACUAAACUAUAACUGACACUGAAGCACGAAAGCGUGGGGAUCAAACAGGAUUAGAUACCCCAGUAGUC